GCCUGCCGUGGUGUAAUGGUAACACGUCUGACCCGGCAUGUCAUAAGAUGUGGGUUCGAAUCCCAUCGGAGGCG